CGCUUGAGAUGGAAAAUUAUCGCUAGAAAAUAAGCAGGCACGUGGCGUUGCUAACGAAAUUGACAUGAAAUUGACAACGUCGUCAUAGGUAAAAUAGCGAUAAAUAGAUUAUCAUUGACCAUCUCAACUCGAUUGCCGUUCUCGCUUUCGCCGUCCCGGCUCAAGCGAGAAAAUUAAUCUCGUUGAGAUGAUCAACGAUAAUCUAUAAGGACAUACAUU
rnacentral:lncRNA from 1 species